UUUCUGACAUGUCAUUAAUGUUUCUGGCAUGUCAUUAAUGUUUCUGGCAUGUCAUUAAUGUUUCUGGCAUGUCAUUAAUGUUUCUGGCAUGUCAAUAAUGUUUCUGACAUGUCAUUAAUGUUUCUGACAUGUCAUUAAUGUUUCUGGCAUGUCAUUAAUGUUUCUGACAUGUCAUUAAUGUUUCUGACAUGUCAUUAAUGUUUCUGACAUGUCAAUAAUGUUUCUGGCAUGUCAUUAAUAUUUCCUGAUGACUCCUGUCCCAUUUACAUCAUAUGAGCAUGUUUUUUCUGCACUUGUCAUACACACAAUUAAAAAUACCCAUAAUGCACUCUCACCUGUUUGUGUGAACUAUCGUACACAUGUGUUAUAAUGUAAAACACUGACUGUGCUGUUCUCUUGACCGUUACAUAUAUUUUUUUGAAAGGCGGGGCCAUUCCAAAUACUGAGUGAUAAUUUUUUUUCUCCUUCCUGACAAUUACCAUGACAAUUGUCAUGGUAACAUAUUUGACAGACUUUGUUGACAUGGUAACGUAACAUGCUAGAGCCUCUGCUGUUCCCAUACGAUUCAGGUUUAACCGGCGUGAAUGAAUGUGCUUUGGUCUGAAAGCGAUCCAGAACGUUCUCAGGGCAGAAUGGAGCCCCCCCCCAGACCUAGCCUGGUCCCAGAUCUGUCCGUGCCUUCUUCUUGCCAACGCCUAUGGUCAUUGCCAGCCAAACAAUGCCCAUAGGAUUUGACACGACAGAACAAAUAGAUGUGGGACCAGGCUCCCUCAGACCCCCCCAGUGACUGUAUGAUGGACUGUGUGUUGUUCUGUAUGUAAGAUGUGUGAUCGAUAUGGACAGAGUUUUGAAAAGUCAUUGAGAACAUUCCACUCCAAAACCAUGAAGAAAGUUUUUUCACAAAGUCAUUGUAGGAUCCUCAUGCGAUUUCACUCACUUUAAUUCAUCUUCAAAGAAUGUCCUCUAAAAAUGUAUUGUUGCUGAAAUGCUUUAGUGAAAUAAAUAUGUCAUGUAAAAUGCAACUUCAACAUGAGGGCUUAGAGGAAUCUGGCAACUUCAACAUGAGGUCUUAGAGGAAUCUGGCAACUUCAACAUGAGGUCUUAGAGGAAUCUGGCAACUUCAACAUGAGGUCUUAGAGGAAUCUGGCAACUUCAACAUGAGGUCUUAGAGGAAUCUGGCAACUUCAACAUGAGGUCUUAGAGGAAUCUGGCAACUUCAACAUGAGGUCUUAGAGGAAUCUGGCAACUUCAACAUGAGGUCUUAGAGGAAUCUGGCAACUUCAACAUGAGGGCUUAGAGGAAUCUGGCAACUUCAACAUGAGGUCUUAGAGGAAUCUGGCAACUUCAACAUGAGGUCUUAGAGGAAUCUGGCAACUUC